ACAGGGAUUGCCCUAGUAACGGCGAGUGAAGCGGCAAGAGCUCAAAUUUGAAAUCUGGCUCCUUUGGAGUCCGAGUUGUAAUUUGUAGAGGGUGCUUUGGUGUCGGCUAUGGCCUAAGUUCCUUGGAACAGGACGUCACAGAGGGUGAGAACCCCGUAUGUGGCUGCUAGCCUUCACCAUGUAAAGCCCCUUCGACGAGUCGAGUUGUUUGGGAAUGCAGCUCUAAAUGGGAGGUAAAUUUCUUCUAAAGCUAAAUAUUGGCCAGAGACCGAUAGCGCACAAGUAGAGUGAUCGAAAGAUGAAAAGCACUUUGGAAAGAGAGUCAAAAAGCACGUGAAAUUGUUGAAAGGGAAGCGCUUGCAGCCAGACUUGCUCGUAGUUGCUCAUCCGAGCUUUUGCUCGGUGCACUCUUCUGCGAGCAGGCCAGCAUCAGUCCGGGCGGUUGGAUAAAGGCUCUGGGAAUGUAGCUCUCUUCGGGGAGUGUUAUAGCCCAGGGUGUCAUGCAACCAGUCUGGACUGAGGUCCGCGCAUCUGCUAGGAUGCUGGCGUAAUGGCUGUAAGCGGCCCGUCUUGAAACACGGACCAAGGAGUCUAACAUCUAUGCGAGUGUUUGGGUGUCAAGCCCGGGCGCGUAAUGAAAGUGAACGGAGGUGGGAACCCUUCGGGGCGCACCAUCGACCGAUCCUGAUGUCUUCGGAUGGAUUUGAGUAAGAGCAUAGCUGUUGGGACCCGAAAGAUGGUGAACUAUGCCUGAAUAGGGUGAAGCCAGAGGAAACUCUGGUGGAGGCUCGCAGCGGUUCUGACGUGCAAAUCGAUCGUCAAAUUUGGGCAUAGGGGCGAAAGACUAAUCG
rnacentral:rRNA from 1 species